rnacentral:lncRNA from 1 species
CAAUAAAUAUGUAUCAUUUAAUCAUCAACCUAAGUUUAGCUCUAUUGUAAUAUUUUUGCUUAAUUUCGGUCAUGAGCUAGAGGUGUGGCAGUUUAGGCCUAGGCUAGGGGUUAUAAAUACUAGUUUAAUGGGAGUUAGCCUCUUAAUUAAAACCUAGUCACUGUGAGGGGAUUUUCAGGAAAGAGAGAGAGAGAGCUUUUGGUUAUGUCACACCAAGGUCUAGAAGUUAGAAGUGUUGGAGGUUGAUUAGGAGAAAUGUUUUGCUUGGAUUAGAGGUAAGGAGAGCUAUCCUUCAAUGUCAAUGAUUGAGUAAUUAUGUAUGAGUGCAUGUACAUUCUAUUUUGUGUGAAUGUCAUGAAGGUUUGAUGGUGUGUAUCAUGUGUGUUGUGUUAUUUGUUUAAACCCAUGUCAUUGUGUUCAAUGUGUUUUGUUGCGUUGAGUUCAUCCUGG